rnacentral:rRNA from 1 species
GUACACUCUAAACCCUUUAACGAGGAUCAAUUGGAGGGCAAGUCUGGUGCCAGCAGCCGCGGUAAUUCCAGCUCCAAUAGCGUAUAUUAAAGUUGUUGCGGUUAAAAAGCUCGUAGUCGAAUUUGUGUCCCGCGCCGCCGGUUCAUCGUCCGCGGUGUCAACUGGCGUGUCGCGGGACGUCCUGCCGGUGGGCUUAGCUCGCAAGGGCGGCCCAACUCAAUCCCGCCGCGGUGCUCUUCACUGAGUGUCGAGGUGGGCCGGCACGUUUACUUUGAACAAAUUAGAGUGCUUAAAGCAGGCUAAAACUUCGCCUGAAUACUGUGUGCAUGGAAUAAUGGAAUAGGACCUCGGUUCUAUUUUGUUGGUUUUCGGAACCCCGAGGUAAUGAUUAAUAGGAACGGAUGGGGGCAUUCGUAUUGCGACGUUAGAGGUGAAAUUCUUGGAUCGUCGCAAGACGGACAGAAGCGAAAGCAUUUGCCAAAAACGCUUUCAUUGAUCAAGAAC